rnacentral:rRNA from 1 species
AUUGAACGCUGGCGGCAGGCCUAACACAUGCAAGUCGAGCGAGCGGCGGACGGGUGAGUAAUGUAUGGGGACUGCCCGAUAGAGGGGGAUAACUACUGGAAACGGUAGCUAAUACCGCAUACUCUAGGAUAACCCAUAUGGGAUUAGCUAGUAGGUGGGGUAAUGGCUCACCUAGGCGACGAUCCCUAGCUGGUCUGAGAGGAUGAUCAGCCACACUGGAACUGAGACACGGCCCAGACUCCUACGGAGGCAGCAGUGGGGAAUAUUGCACAAUGGGCGCAAGCCUGAUGCAGCCAUGCCGCGUGUAUGAAGAAGGCCCUAGGGUUGUAAAGUACUUUCAGUCGGGAGGCGUUGCCAGCAGAAGAAGCACCGGCUAACUCCGGGCCAGCCGCCGCGGUAAUUC